UUUUCUGCAUGAGGGCUGCUUCCUGGGGCUGAGUAUUUUGGUGUUACAGUCCUACAUCACCAGUUGGAGAUUGUCCAAAGGAAGGUAACAAAGAUGGUGAAAGGUCUGGUCAGGAAUGGAUGAGGAGCAGAUGAGAUCCCUGGGUUUGCUCAGCCCAGAACAGGGAAACCUGUGUCCUCCUUGUGAACUGCACCAGUCCUUCUGACCAGAAGGAAUAUAUUCCCUUUGGGUUAAUGCUUUUGUGUAUACUACCUUAAUGUCUCUGCACAUUUAGAAUAAUACAUGUUUUAUGUCUGAAUACCAUUCUGUGCUUCAAAAGAAGGUGCGGUACUGAUGACAUAAAAGCUGCAGUGAUUUGUAAGUGGCUGCAGAGUCCUGUGAUUAAAUUACAGGCUUACUAUUUAGCUGUGAAACUAUAUGUUGUUAUUGGCUGUAUGCAUCAAGAGAUUUUCAGUAUUUGGCUUCCAAGGAUUAUAACUUAUAAUUUACUUUGCAGGUGGGGAAAGUUUGUAGUUUGAAAAAUCAUGUGUAUGAAAACAUUUUUGUGCUGUUGUUUGUGAAGGUGUAGUGGAAGAGGGAGAAGAAAAGACAUCAAGGAAACCUUUAGGUUAAUGGAAAAACGCAUGGAGUAUAUGUACAUAAGGUAGAAAGCUCCUUUUGUUUGUACGGUGUGUUGUUAUCAGUGUAAUUCUGGAGUUGUCAUUGCAUUGUGCACUUUUGUGGAGCGGUCCAUCUGUAGUAAGGCAGUUUCAUGCUUGAAAAGAUACUAAAAGGAUUCCUAUAAAUUUUUCACUCAGCUUUAUUAAAAUAUACAUGUAUGUCUGGAAAAUAUACAGUGCACUAAAGAGCACUUAAGGAUUGACAUAUAAUUUUUUGUUAAUAUGAUUAUGUUUUAGGUCACCAAUAUGUGAAAAUGAAUGGAAGCAUACUGCAUCCAAUUGCAAAAGAAGUUAUUACUACUUGAUCUCAGAGUUUUCACAAAGCAAAAUCUCUUCUAGUCAUUUUUAAGCAGCUAAGAAUUGAUAUUACAGAUCAAACUGAGUGUUCACUGAAGACUGUGCCCUCUCUGACUCUUGAAAGUAUGAUACUUAUUGGUGGUGAACACAAAACCCACAAGGUACUUAUGUUAGCAGCUGUGAAGUUGGCCUGAUGUCUGAAGUAUGUGGUCUUAUAUUUCUGAUAAUUAGUUUUGUUCUAGCUGAUGUAAUUAUGGAUGUUUCUAUGUGGAUGUCUGAUCCUUCAUUUGAAUCUUGCUGGGUUUUCUGGCAAUGAGUUCAUGUAGGAAAUGAAUCAUUUUAAUAAUUCCACAAUUUAAAAGUAAGGUGAGAGAUUCAGUGAUGCACUGGAAGGGCAAGGGUUAUGGUGUCAUUUCCAAUGGUAAAUAAUCCACGAGGGUCAAUUAGUGAAUGUCUGUUCUCGAGAAACGCAAAGCUUUGUGGAAGUAACAAGUCACAGUAUUAAGCUAUGAAUUUUAGCUUUAAGACCAAUAAAUUCUGCCUCAGUUCUC
ensembl:lncRNA